UCAGAAAUCUGAGAAAGGUGCUUUCAUA
rnacentral:piRNA from 1 species